GAAAACUCGGGUGCCCCCAGUAAGUCUGGAAAAUCCCUAGGUUUCCUGAAAGGGAGCCCAGGAGAUGUGUAAAUGGAUCGUCUCAAAGAGAAAAGAAACUCUUGCACACCUGGCCUCUCAGGAAUGAGAAUGGAAAUCGGUGCUUUGCCCUGUUCUCCAAGGAGCAGGGAGAUGAUCAGGCUCUAAUGGACCCAAAAAAGACGAUCCAAAAAGGAGCAAUCACGUCAUUCCCUGGAUCCACAGUGGUUGUAAGAAAAGUGAUUUGGAACUGGUGCCAAGGAAAUGUGACCUACUAAUAAAAGAAAACCAUUGGUGAUUUCUUUGAGACUGGUGAUCUUCGAUGAUGA